UGAGCUGUAGUUUAAUUAUAAGCAUUCCGUUUACGUUGGAAAGAUCACUAA
rnacentral:tRNA from 1 species